UGGGGAAUCUUGCACAAUGGGGGCAACCCUGAUGCAGCGACGCCGCGUGAGCGAUGAAACCCUUCGGGGCGUAAAGCUCUUUCGACCGGAACGAUAAUGACGGUACCGGGAGAAGAAGCUGCGGCUAACUACGUGCCAGCAGCCGCGGUAAUACGUAGGCAGCAAGCGUUGUUCGGAGUUACUGGGCGUAAAGAGUGCGUAGGCGGUUUUCUAAGUUCGGUGUGAAAUCUCCCGGCUUAACUGGGAGGGUGCGCCGAAGACUGGGAAGCUGGAGUGUGGGAAAGGCAGGCGGAAUUCCUGGUGUAGCGGUGAAAUGCGUAGAUAUCAGGAGGAACACCGGCGGUGUAGACGGCUUGCUAGACCAUAACUGACGCUGAGGCACGAAAGCGUGGGUAGCAAACA
rnacentral:rRNA from 1 species